UGCGUAGGCUGUUUGAUAAGUCAGGCGUGAAAUCCCUCGGCUCAACCGGGGAACUGCGCUUGAUACUGUCGAACUCGAGUCCUGGAGAGGGUGGCGGAAUUCCUGGUGUAGGAGUGAAAUCCGUAGAUAUCAGGAGGAACACCGGUGGCGAAGGCGGCCACCUGGACAGGUACUGACGCUGAGGCACGAAAGCGUGGGGAGCAAACAG
rnacentral:rRNA from 1 species